GCUCUUAUCUGCUUUUAUUCUGUUCUCUCUCUCUCUCUCUCUCUCUAACUCACAUGAUCGGAAAAUUGAACAUCAUCGAGAUCAAGAAAUUGAACCAGCUUAAGAAAGGGAAGCUGGAGAAAUUGAUCGGGAUCAAGAUCGAUCAAAACAAGCUCACUAUCCGAGGGAUGAAGACGGACGAUCUAGAUCUCGGCCUACGAUCUGAACCGCUUCGCCCUAACGAUCUGGAGAAGGCAAAUAGUCUUUAUUAAGUCGCGUUGGAGGAGAAGGAUUGGAUGAUAAGCUCGGCCUUGCGUCAUCCGACGAGUUUAGCGGUGAAGCGGUGAAGUUAUCCGGCAACUUAUCUGUGAUUUUAGAAGUUGUGUGCACUGUGCAGCGUUGACAUGUUGCUUGGGAUUAAGAUGGGUGAGAAACGAGACUAUUGCUAAUGGAGGUGUUUUGUCAAAUAUUCAUCGGAAAUCUGUUGUGGAAGAAGACUUUGGAGGGUAAGGAGACAAAUGAAUUUGAGUUUCAGUCGUAGUAGCAGUUUCUUAGUUAAUAGUAGCAGAGUCCUAGUAGGCAGUAGAAGUGUAGUAGCAGCGACAAUAAAAUCGUCCUAAUAGGUAGUAGUAGCAGUAAUAACGUCUUAGUAGGCAGUUGCAGACUUCGAAGUUGGCAGUAGCAGCUACGGGCAUCAAAGUCGACAGUAACAGCUACGGGAAUCCAAGUCGGCAGUAGCAGUGACCAGCAUCCAAGUCGGCAGUAGCAGCGACGGGCAUCCAAGUCAGCAGUAAAAUAUGUAGUGAAUGGUAGUUUGAUAAAAUAUACAGUGACAGAUGUAAUGUGGACAUCAAUUUGUCCUAAUUUGUUAAUUUUUGUCCUUAAAUGUGUAAAAUAAUGUCUAAAGGAUGUAUUUGUAAACUGAAAUUUGGUUAGUA